UCAAACUUCGGGGUUUUUCACAGUAAAUGCGGUGAUUGUUUUUUGCCAUGGCUGGAAUCGCGCAUAUCGUUCUUAAUGAUAAGUAUGCCGUCAUGAAGCCCGGUUCAUUUCUGGUACCAUAGUUUGGAAUGCUUUCUUUUGUUAAAAGUGUGGGUUAUCUGUACAUAACCCACACUUUUCUUCAAACCCCGCCCACAAACUCGAAAAAACAACAUCACUGUCCACUGUAUGAAGUUCCUCCAGAUUAAAAUUGCCCAUAUCAAACACAGAUAACUGACUCAGACUAAGUUCUCCAAAUAAAUAUUCGCAUCACUAAGUUCUCCAAAUAAAUAUUCGCACUCAAUCUCAUUUGAAGCUUGAGACAAGAUAAUAUCGUCAAUGGUUUCGUCCCAAAGACUUUUUAUUUCUAUAUUCUCCUGAAGUCGAGAGACAAGUGUAAGUAGAAAUACGGGUAUCAUUUAUAAAGAUUUUUAUAAAAGACCCAGUCACGUGAUAAGAAUGCGUUCGAGAGAUAAACUUGUUUUGCAAACAGAGUAAACAGCGGCGGGUUACCUUUUUUUCGCUUAUGUUUCACCGAUUUUUUUUUUAUUUAUUGUUUUGACAUGUAAAUGCUUUUUCAGCCAUUUUAGUCAAAAUAUGUAUUACAAUGAAGAAUAUCAAAUAGGAUUUUAAAAGAGUAACUACCAUCAUCAAUUAAAUAUGCUGCUGAAUUUUUAAACAGAAAAAUGCACAAAUAUGGGUUCUUAGAAUUUUGAUUGUACUUAAUUUCAAUUCUUUGAAGCAGGUACCGGUACUAGAAGUCGGAAAAUGGAUAAAUGUGAAAUAAAAAUACCAAAACCUGACCCCGUUUAAACAUUUAUGUGCAUUUUAAUUAAAGUUUGGGUUUUUUAAAAAAAAUUAUUAAUGCUUAUACAUUUUUGGUGAUAGGAAGCCAUUUAAAUAGAAAAAUAUGGUGCACAAAGUGUAAUGUAAAGACCAAAAAAAAAUUUUAAAAAAUUGACACCAUAUUGUAAACAGGCGACUGUGCUUCCGAAGGCUAUAAUAAAAUAUAAUGAAUAAUAGUAAACUAUGGUACAAGUCACUUACCCCAUAUAAUAUUGUUGAUUGUGUUCAGAUACCCGAUGGGCGUGGUCAUAAUGAACAUGCUCAUCGGGUAUCUGCACAUAAACCAACAAUAUUAUAUGGGGUAACUACUAUAUACCCUCGUGUAUUUGGAAUUCCCAGCCGUGAAUAUAAACAUAGAUUCAUACGCAUAUUGUUAAUUCACCUCAUACUUACUAUUGGUAAAUAUACCAGGUAUAUUGAAAGCAAAAACAUUGGAAACUUUAAGUACUUGUGUAUUGCUAAUAUCGCAAUAUUAUGAAGGUGUUUAGGUAAACAUAUUACAGACGGGGGGAGGGGGGGAGGGGAUAAAGUGUCGUGGUGUCUAGAAGACAAUACGAUACAUUAUGAAACAAUCUCACGAAGGAGUCGCGGGAAACAAUCCCACGGAGGUGUCGCGGUAAAGGAUUUCACGAAAGGGUCGCGGGAAACAGUCUCACGGAUGAGCCGCGAGAAACAAUCUCAUGAAGGGGUCGUGGGAAACGAUCUUACGAAGGGGUCGCGGGAAGCAAUCUCACGGAGGAGUCGCGGGAAGCAAUCUCACAGAGGGGUCGCGGGAAACAAUCUCACGGAGGGGUUGCGGGAAGCAAUCUCACGGAGGGGUUGCGGGAAGCAAUCUCACGGAGGGGUUGCGGGAAACAAUCUCACGGAGGGGUUGCGGGAAGCAAUCUCACGGAGGGGUCGCGGGAAACAAUUUCACGGAGGAGUCGCGGGAAGCAAUCUCACGGAGGGGUCGCGGGAAGCAAUCUCACGGAGGAGUCGCGGGAAGCAAUGUCGUGGACGAGCUAUGGGGAACAAUCUCACAGAGGGGUCGCGGGAAGCAAUCUCACGGACGGGUUGCAGGAAACAAUUUCACGGUGUGGUCGAUGACAUAUUGAUAAAAGUCAAUCAGUUUAUAACACCUGUAAAUAGAACAUUUAUUUUACGAUAUUUUAGCUAUAACAUCACUCCCAGUCGAAGACAGUUGACAGGGUACACCGUGUCAAACCGUUACUUUGGGGGAGUCGCAAAAAAGAACGAGGGAGUCGCUUAUAACGCCAAAGGGAGUCGAUUUUCUUCGCUUCGAAAUUCGCCGAAAGAUGGAAGAGCAUGUUAUGAUUAGCGAGAUGGUGGAAAUAAUACCACAACAGGCUUUUGAAUGCGCAAUUUGUAAAAAAGACUUAUAAACUGAAAGGUAGUCUGCAGAGGCACCUACAGUCCCAUAACGAUGGAAAUCAAUUCCAGUGUCAUUGUGGGAAAUCAUUUUCACAGAACUAUUUACAGAAAAGACAUUUUUAAAAAACCAUGACGAAGCUAAUAAAAAGAAACAUUUGUGAAGUGUGUGGAGCUUCAUAUACAAGUUCAUGCAGGGGCCUUUAGUGACCACAAGAAAUUCAAACAUAAAAAUGAGAGAUACUUGUGUACCCAAUGUGAGAAGAGUUUCAAAGACACAUACCAAUUAAGGAUGCAUUUAGCAACUCAUAAUUUUGGAACAAGGCGAAAUAAAUCAAAACUACUU